rnacentral:rRNA from 1 species
CCCGGGGGAAACCCGGGCUAAUACCGCAUACGCUCUACGGAGGAAAGCGGGGGACCGCAAGGCCUCGCGCUACUGGAGCGGCCGAUAUCAGAUUAGGUAGUUGGUGGGGUAAAGGCCUACCAAGCCGACGAUCUGUAGCUGGUCUGAGAGGACGACCAGCCACACUGGGACUGAGACACGGCCCAGACUCCUACGGGAGGCAGCAGUGGGGAAUUUUGGACAAUGGACGCAAGUCUGAUCCAGCAAUGCCGCGUGCAGGACGAAGGCCUUCGGGUUGUAAACUGCUUUUGUACAGAACGAAAAGGCUCUGGUUAAUACCUGGGGCUCAUGACGGUACUGUAAGAAUAAGCACCGGCUAACUACGUG